GACGAACGCUGGCGGCGUGCUUUACACAUGCAAGUCGAACGAGAACCUUCCUUCGGGAAGCAGAGAGUGGCGAACGGGUGAGUAACACGUGGGCAACCUACCCUCACACUGGGAUAACCUCGGGAAACCGGGGCUAAUACCGGAUAUUCACGACCUCGGGCAUCCGAGGACGUGGAAAGGAUUCUGGUGAGGGAUGGGCCCGCGGCCUAUCAGUUUGUUGGUGGGGUAAUGGCCUACCAAGACGACGACGGGUAGCCGGCCUGAGAGGGCGACCGGCCACACUGGGACUGAGACACGGCCCAGACUCCUACGGGAGGCUGCAGUGGGGAAUAUUGCGCAAUGGACGAAAGUCUGACGCAGCAACGCCGCGUGAGGGAUGAAGUACAUCGAGAUGUAAACCUCUUUCAGCAGGGACGAAGCGAAAGUGACGGUACCUGCAGAAGAAGCGCCGGCUAACUACGUG
rnacentral:rRNA from 1 species